rnacentral:other from 1 species
GGUUCCCCUGCUGCUCCAAGGAGACAAGAUUUGGAAUUCCUGGAGGUUUACUUUUGUGAUAAGCUAGAAACCAUCUCUUUAAUUCCAUCUCAUAGUUUUCCACAGGUUCAUAGAGAAACC